rnacentral:rRNA from 1 species
AGAGUUUGAUUCUGGCUCAGGAUGAACGCAGGCGGCGUGCUUAACACAUGCAAGUCGAACGAGGUCCAACCUUCGGGUGAAGACCGAGUGGCGAACGGGUGAGUAACACGUGGGGAACCUGCCCUUCUCUCUGGGAUAACCUCGGGAAACCGAAGCUAAUACCGGAUACUCCUUGCGGACCGCAUGGUCUGCUCGGGAAAGCUCCGGCGGAGAAGGAUGGCCCCGCGGCCCAUUAGCUUGUUGGUGGGGUAACGGCCCACCAAGGCGACGAUGGGUAGCCGAGCUGAGAGGCUGAUCGGCCACACUGGGACUGAGACACGGCCCAGACUCCUACGGGAGGCAGCAGUGGGGAAUCUUGCGCAAUGGGCGAAAGCCUGACGCAGCAACGCCGCGUGCGGGAUGAAGGCUCUCGGGUCGUAAACCGCUUUCAGCAGGGAUGAAAAUGACAGUACCUGCAGAAGAAGCCCCGGCUAAAUACGUGCCAGCAGCCGCGGUAAUACGUAUGGGGCAAGCGUUAUCCGGAUUCAUUGGGCGUAAAGCGCGCGUAGGCGGCUUGUUAAGUCAGGCGUGAAAUCCGGGGGCUCAACCCGCGGCUUGCGUCUGAAACUGGCAGGCUUGAGUCUGGUAGAGGAAAGUGGAAUUCCUGGUGUAGCGGUGAAAUGCGCAGAUAUCAGGAGGAACACCAGUGGCGAAGGCGGCUUUCUGGGCCACGACUGACGCUGAGGCGCGAAAGCUAGGGGAGCGAACAGGAUUAGAUACCCUGGUAGUC